CAUCGUUCGUCACUCAACGAAUGGUAGGCCGGUUGGAUAUAUGGCUGCGUCUCACUGUUUGUGCGUGGCCAGCGCAGUCUGUUCCGCUCUUUUGUGUCUUGUCUCGGGCUCUGUUAGAUGUUCGUGUGUGCGUGUGUGCAGGUUGAUGAUAUUUGUGCUUCGGAUACAAAGGCGCAUCUAUAGCGACAACUUGCCCUCCUGGCAACCCCUCCGGAGUGCUGGCGAUCAGAUGAUUUUUAAUUUUCCACCCUGGUUUUGUCGCGUUCCGCGCCAGACAAAGAAAAUCCCCGUGCGCCCGGCUGGAAACGGAGCCACCAUCAUCAAUCAAUCAUUUUCCAUAAGCAAAAUGGAGCGUAGUCGUAAGCCACAAAGAAACACAAAGAAACUCAUUGAAGCUAACUGCGAGAAAUGUGUGCUUUGACUCUGUAUGUGUGCGUGUGUGUGUGUGUGUUUUUCUACGAAAGACCACUUGAGCCACCCCUUUCCAUUUUUAUUUAUAUUUGUGUGUAUGUGUGUGUAAAUGUGCAAGUAGGCCGCUGUGAAACCGAAACAAGGCACGGAAAAACGGGAAAAACCACCUUAAACCCGUGAUUUGUUUUUCCGUUUAAUUUUUGUCCAAAACUUUGGGUACCAUUAUGGUUAAGUGGAGGGGGAAAAAGGUGAAGAAGCAGGGCUUUUUAGUGUGUGACAACAACAUACAGCGACAGCAACUAAUGCGUACAGAGAGCGAGGCACACAGACACAUACACACCUACACACUCGGAGGAGCUACAUUUUAAUCAUUUCAGCUCACAGUUCGUGGGUAAAAAUGGCAACAAAGUGCUACAAUUUUAAGUGGUUUUUCGGUCGGGAUUUUCGUUUGCCUCUUCAGAAAUCAAUAACGACCCGCAAGGGAGGUGAGGAUAGGAAGAGUGAGAGUUCGGGAAGCGAGGAGGAGAGAAAACUCAUGCAAGUUGUGGAUGCUGCGUCAUGCUUUUUUCUUUGUUUGUUGGACGAGCGUGGAGAUGGAUUGGAAAGAGCCCCCCGCGCCCCCCCCCCCCUCCGUUGGUGGACAUUCCGGUGCUAAAGCCUGCCUCACAACCUGCUCAACAAUUAAACCGUUGUUAGAUGGCCGUUGGUGACGAUGCGAAUGGUGGUGGUGAUCGUGUGGUGGUCGCCCAACAUUGUCUUGUGCCGGAGGAGCAACUCAAGUUCUUAACAAAUUUAAAUUAUUAUUAAUGUUUCAUUAACGUCAACGGUUGUGCCUAGCGUGAACUCACAGUGUUGGUUAAGAUUACCGACAAUUCCUCAAUGUGCUCACAGAAAAAUCGACGCUACCAUCAGGAUCCAGGAACACUAUCUCGCAGCAACACACAUAACAUGGACCGGAGGAGCCAGACACCAGAGGGGUUUGAUAAAUUUACCUUGUUCAAACAUUGACUCAACUUCUUAGCCUUUUCUCUCUCGACUGUACGGUACAAAAAUAGCGUUCUACCAGAGCAGAUUCCUCUACCAGAUUGUAUUAAAAAGCAACCAGUCGAGAGAUCGGAUUGGGCUUGUUUUUGGACCUUUGGUAAGAUUAGGGCUAGUUAUAGGAAUAAGAUAAAUAGACUUCAGAAUUCUUUGUAAAACUCAUGUGGCUAACAAGAUCUUUUUAUACAAAUACAAAAAACGAGCAGCAGCAAAAAAAGAAUUGGAAAAAAUAAAGCGCAAAAUGUCUUCUUUCACGACUCGAUAUAAAUAAACUAUUUUGUUCCUCUUGUUUUCCAA